rnacentral:rRNA from 1 species
UAGUCCACGCCGUAAACGAUGAUCACUAGAUGUGGGAUGAGCUCUGCUCGUUCCGUGUCGAAGCUAACGCGUUAAGUGAUCCGCCUGGGGAGUACGGUCGCAAGAUUAAAACUCAAAGGAAUUGACGGGGGUCCGCACAAGCGGUGGAACAUGUGGUUUAAUUCGACACUACGCGAGGAACCUUACCUAGGCUUGACAUGCACGUGAUCACACUCGAAAGGGUGUCUUACUUGUUUACAAGUACAGGUGCACAGGUGCUGCAUGGCUGUCGUCAGCUCGUGUCGUGAGAUGUUAGGUUAAGUCCUUUAACGAGCGCAACCCCUAUUGCUCGUUGCUAUUCCGUAAGGAAGCACUCAAGCAAGACUGCCUGGGGAACCAGGAGGAAGGUGGGGAUGACGUCAAGUCCUCAUGGCCUUUAUGCCUAGGGCUACACACGUGUUACAAUGGUGAGAACAAUAGGAAGCAAUCCGGCGACGGGGAGCAAAUCCAUAAAUCUCAUCU